rnacentral:rRNA from 1 species
CCUACGGGCGGCAGCAGUGGGGAAUAUUGGACAAUGGGGGGGAACCCUGAUCCAGCCAUGCCGCGUGUGUGAAGAAGGCCCUCGGGUUGUAAAGCACUUUCAGUGAGGAAGAACGCCUGGUGGUUAAUACCCAUCAGGAAAGACAUCACUCACAGAAGAAGCACCGGCUAACUCCGUGCCAGCAGCCGCGGUAAUACGGAGGGUGCGAGCGUUAAUCGGAAUUACUGGGCGUAAAGCGCGCGUAGGUGGCUUGAUAAGCCGGUUGUGAAAGCCCCGGGCUCAACCUGGGAACGGCAUCCGGAACUGUCAAGCUAGAGUGCAGGAGAGGAAGGUAGAAUUCCCGGUGUAGCGGUGAAAUGCGUAGAGAUCGGGAGGAAUACCAGUGGCGAAGGCGGCCUUCUGGACUGACACCGACACUGAGGUGCGAAAGCGUGGGUAGCAAACAGGAUUAGAUACCCUUGUAGUC